UGCAGUCGACGAUGAACCAGGAGCUUGCUCUUGGGGAUUAGUGGCGAACGGGUGAGUAACACGUGAGUAACCUGCCCUUGACUCUGGGAUAAGCGUUGGAAACGACGUCUAAUACCGGAUACGAGCUUCCACCGCAUGGUGAGUUGCUGGAAAGAAUUUUGGUCAAGGAUGGACUCGCGGCCUAUCAGCUUGUUGGUGAGGUAAUGGCUCACCAAGGCGACGACGGGUAGCCGGCCUGAGAGGGUGACCGGCCACACUGGGACUGAGACACGGCCCAGACUCCUACGGGAGGCAGCAGUGGGGAAUAUUGCACAAUGGGCGAAAGCCUGAUGCAGCAACGCCGCGUGAGGGACGACGGCCUUCGGGUUGUAAACCUCUUUUAGCAGGGAAGAAGCGAAAGUGACGGUACCUGCAGAAAAAGCACCGGCUAACUACGUGCCAGCAGCCGCGGUAAUACGUAGGGUGCAAGCGUUGUCCGGAAUUAUUGGGCGUAAAGAGCUCGUAGGCGGUUUGUCGCGUCUGCUGUGAAAUCCCGAGGCUCAACCUCGGGUCUGCAGUGGGUACGGGCAGACUAGAGUGCGGUAGGGGAGAUUGGAAUUCCUGGUGUAGCGGUGGAAUGCGCAGAUAUCAGGAGGAACACCGAUGGCGAAAGGCAGAUCUCUGGGCCGCUACUGACGCUGAGGAGCG
rnacentral:rRNA from 1 species